AUGACACGCAAACCCAUAUGUGCCGAUGUGCGAAGAAGAAAAAUAAUCGGAACUACUUCCUCUUCGAACACGCUAGUAUCCGCGUCUCAACACAAAUUGCUACUCUCUGAUCAUAACCGAGAUGGCCAGUACCGACGCAGCUGCGAUGAGGCCGCACCAGCAUCGGCUGCGAUUCCACCCUCCAGCUCACAAAAUCCACGAAAAGUUUCACGGCAGACGACUCUCCAGAUGCGAUUCCGAUGA